AAUGGACGCAAGUCUGAUGGAGCAACGCCGCGUGAGUGAAGAAGGCUUUCGGGUCGUAAAACUCUGUUGUUGGAGAAGAAUGGUCGGCAGAGUAACUGUUGUCGGCGUGACGGUAUCCAACCAGAAAGCCACGGCUAACUACGUGCCAGCAGCCGCGGUAAUACGUAGGUGGCAAGCGUUAUCCGGAUUUAUUGGGCGUAAAGCGAGCGCAGGCGGUUUUUUAAGUCUGAUGUGAAAGCCCUCGGCUUAACCGAGGAAGUGCAUCGGAAACUGGGAAACUUGAGUGCAGAAGAGGACAGUGGAACUCCAUGUGUAGCGGUGAAAUGCGUAGAUAUAUGGAAGAACACCAGUGGCGAAGGCGGCUGUCUGGUCUGUAACUGACGCUGAGGCUCGAAAGCACGGGUAGCGAACAGGAUUAGAUACCCUGGUAGUCCAUGCCGUAAACGAUGAAUGCUGGGUGUUGGAGGGUUUCCGCCCUCAGUGCCGCAGCUAACGCAUUAUGCAUUCCGCCUGGGGAGUACGACCGCAAGGUUGAAACUCAAAGGAAUUGACGGGGGCCCGCACAAGCGGUGGAGCAUGUGAUGUAAUUCGAAGCAACGCGAAGAACCUUACCAGGUCUUGACAUCUUUUGAUCACCUGAGAGAUCAGGUUUCCCCUUCGGGGGC
rnacentral:rRNA from 2 species